rnacentral:rRNA from 1 species
GACGAACCGUGCAAACGUUGUUCGGAAUCACUGGGCUUAAAGGGCGCGUAGGCGGUCCGUCAAGUCUUGGGUGAAAUCUUUCGGCUCAACCGGAGAAUUGCCUGAGAUACUGACGGGCUCGAGGGAGGUAGGGGCAGCGGGAACUUCCAGUGGAGCGGUGAAAUGCGUUGAUAUUGGAAGGAACGCCGGUGGCGAAAGCGCGCUGCUGGGCCUCUUCUGACGCUGAGGCGCGAAAGCUAGGGGAGCAAACGGGAUUAGAUACCCCGGUAGU